ACCAGUUUAUCCUGCUGGCGGCUGCGGCUCUCUGACAUGCACUAAGACAUGCAAGUCUCUCGAAAGAGGGCGAACUGCGCAGUAACACGUAGAUAAUCUGCCCUCAGGUCAGGGAUAGCGUCGGGAAACUGACGGUAAUACCUGAUAGGGGAUUCUUUCUGGAAUGAGGAUUCCCUCAAAUUCGCGCCUGAGGAUGAGUCUGCGGCUGAUUAGGUUGUUGGCGGGGUAAUGGCCCACCAAGCCAGAGAUCAGUAAGGGCUCUUAGCGGAGAGGCCCUGCGAAGGACUCUGAGACACUAGUCCUAGCCCUAAGGGGUGCAGCAGUUAGGAAUUUUCUGCAAUGCGCGCAAGCGUGACAGAGCGAGUCAGAGUGUUCCUCAAUGAGGAACUUUUCUGUGCUGUAAAAAGGCAUAGGAAUAAGGACUGGGAGAGACUGGUGCCAGCCGCCGCGGUAAUCCCAGCAGUCCAAGUCGCAGCCACAAUUAUUGGGUCUAAAACACCCGUAGCUCGCUUCGUAAGUCUCUUGUGAAAUCCUGUCUCUUAAGGGCAGGGCGUGCAAGAGAUACUGCGAUGCUAGAGACCGGAAGACGCGAGAAGUACACUCAAGGAAGUGGUAAAAUAUGUUAAUCUUGGGUGGACUAACAAGAGCGAAGGCAUCUCGCGAAGACGGAUCUGACAGUGAGGGGUGAAGGCUAGGGGCGCAAAUUGGAUUAGAUACCCAAGUAGUCCUAGCAGUAAACACUGCACACUAAACAUCAGUACCUCCUCGAGAGGUAUUGGUGCUGUAGCGAAGGCGUAGAGUGUGCUACCUGGGAAGUAUAGCCGCAAGGCCGAAACUUAAAGGAAUUGGCGGGGGAGCACUACAACGGGUGACGCGUGCGGUUCAAUUAGAUUCUACACCGUGAACCUCACCAGGAUCGACAGCAGAAUGAAGGUCAGUCUGAAGGGCUUACCUGACACGCUGAGAGGAGGUGCAUGGCCGACGUCAGCCUGUGUCGUGAGAUGACCUGUUAAAUCAGGUAACAGGCGAGACCCGUGUCUCUAGUUGCCCCACAAGGGAUCACUAGCGAGACUGCAGUGGCAACACUGAGGAAGGUGCGGGCUACGUUAGGUGAGUACGCCCCGAAUACCCUGGGCUACACGCGCGCGGCAAUGCUGGAUGCAAUUGGAUGCAACUCCGAAAGGAGAAGCUAAUCCCCUAAUAUCCAGCUCAGUUCAGAUUGAGGCUUGCAACUUAGCCUCAUGACGCUGGAAUCCGUAGUAAUCGUUCUUCAUCAGAGAACGGUGAAUAAGUCCCUGCUCCUUGCACACACCGAAACAAAUGUGCCAAGCAGCUUAUAGAGCUAAAUACAGAAAUAAUAAUUUCUGUCUCUUAAUUUAAUUAAAAAAUUAAGAUGGGUGAA
rnacentral:rRNA from 1 species